GUUGACAUGACUGCAUAGAAUACUAACAGCCAAACUGUUCCAGUUUAGGAUGGCAUCAUUUUAGGGUGCUCCUUGCAAGAUUUCUCAGGGAGGAGUGAAAAGAAUAACCAGAAGAUUUGUCCAAGAGCCAAGGACACUUGUGGAGAGCUUCAAAAAGACCUGGAAAUAUCAGAAGUGACAUAGUAGCUGGCAGCACAGACCGUCACACAAGGCAUUUUAAGGAUAACUUCAUUUAAUCUUCCCAGAAAGAAAGAAAAAUCCUUGUACUGCAACCAUAUUCCACCAUCUGGCCACCUGCGAGAACGGCAAUUACACUAAACAGGAGAUAAGAGAACUGGAGGUCUCUGUUUUCUGAAAACGAUUAUCGGUGCGUGACCGCAAAACGCAGGAAGUGCAAGAAGCCCAGACCCGAGCUUACGAGAGAGUACAUGAAACAAAUAGACAAUAUGCCUUAUCCCAGCCAGCCGGUGAUCGAUAUUCUUAAUAGGAUGACACAUACAUUCAUAUAAUACAAGGCACAGUAAGUAAGAACUGGACAAACUGGUGAAACAUUCUACUGUGUAGUCAACGCUGCCCCAUUACUGAAGGAAUCAUUUAAAGUGACGGUUUACCUUACAUAUAUGGAGGAAUUGAGUAAACGGUAAUACCGAGAUAUACUUUUAUUAUCUUAUUAUUAUAACAACCUCAUUAAGUAGUUAUAAUGCUCUUAUAAUACCAUCAUAGGGAGACUGAGACAGAAUGAAG